rnacentral:rRNA from 1 species
UACGAAGGGUGCGAGCGUUACUCGGAAUUACUGGGCGUAAAGCGUGCGCAGGCGGUUUUGUAAGCCAGAUGUGAAAUCCCCGGGCUUAACCUGGGAAUGGCAUUUGGGACUGCAAGGCUGGAGUUUGGCAGAGGAGACUGGAAUUCCUGGUGUAGCAGUGAAAUGCGUAGAUAUCAGGAGGAAUACCGAUGGCGAAGGCAGGUCUCUGGGCUAUAACUGACGCUCAUGCACGAAAGCGUGGGGAGCAAACAGG